CCUACGGGCGGCAUCAGUGAGGAAUAUUGGUCAAUGGACGAGAGUCUGAACCAGCCAAGUAGCGUGAAGGAUGACUGCCCUAUGGGUUGUAAACUUCUUUUAUAUGGGAAUAAAAUGUUCCACGUGUGGGAUUUUGUAUGUACCAUAUGAAUAAGGAUCGGCUAACUCCGUGCCAGCAGCCGCGGUAAUACGGAGGAUCCGAGCGUUAUCCGGAUUUAUUGGGUUUAAAGGGAGCGUAGGUGGAUUGUUAAGUCAGUUGUGAAAGUUUGCGGCUCAACCGUAAAAUUGCAGUUGAAACUGGCAGUCUUGAGUACAGUAGAGGUGGGCGGAAUUCGUGGUGUAGCGGUGAAAUGCUUAGAUAUCACGAAGAACUCCGAUUGCGAAGGCAGUUCACUGGACUGCAACUGACACUGAGGCUCGAAAGUGUGGGUAUCAAACAGGAUUAGAUACCCUUGUAGUC
rnacentral:rRNA from 1 species